rnacentral:lncRNA from 10 species
ACACACAGCUAGCUCUUCAGGCCAGGCCCCCAGGGUUUCGUCCACCUCUCACCUUUGACGACGCGGUCAGCCCCGGGAGGGGGCGGCGGGGGCGGGGGUGGGGGCGGUGCAGCCCGGGCCGGCUCCGGGGCGGCCAUGCUGGGCCCGGGGCUCGGCUAGGCUCUGGGCCGGGCGGGGUUGGGGGCGGGGGCGGCGGCUACCAGAGCCAAGCGGCGGCGCCGCCGGGGAACAUGGCGGACCCUCUUUCCCUACAGAGGGGCUAAGACCGGCAUGCACUGCGCGUGCGGGGGUGGGGGCGGGGUAGGCUCUAGGGACUUGGGCAAAAUUACUGAAGCUAGGAGAGAAACAGGACGAGGCCAAGGGAUCAGGUUAAAAUUCUUUGCAUGCAGAAUGAAGAAUGAGGAGGUGCUGCGAUCGAACGACUGCGAGGAAACACACCCGCUCUCAUGGCAUUCCCAGUAAACUGAGAAGACGUGAUUAAACCUCAGGAUCUCCUACUAAUAGAGAAAUGUAUAACGAUUUAGCUACCAGAUCUGAAUACUGAAGGGUUGGUAGGGGACCAGAGAAUAGAGGAAGCAUUGUAGGUUCUAGAGUGGAGAAGGGACCAUCCAAAAUGGAGUUUGAAAGAGAAUUCUGGCCUUUGUGUUUAGAGUCUGGAAUUGUCAAGAGUCUGAAAGCACAGAAUAAGACUGCAGCUAGAGCAAUUUAGGCGCCAUAGUUUGUCAAAACAGAGACGGGAUCUCACUGUGUUGCCCAGGCUGGUCUCGAACUGCUGGACUCAAGUCAUCCUCCCAUCUUGGCCUCCCAAAGUGCUGGAAUUACAGUGGACAACCUUCAAUGCACUGGUACUUUGUACCCUGACCUCUACUGUGAUGAACACUCAACUUGGGCAAGGAAGUGAAAUUCUCCAAAGGUUGGAGUGCAGUGGUGCGAUCUCAGCUCACUGUAACCUCUGCCUCCCGAAUUCAAGUGAUUUCCCUGCCUCAGCCUCCCGAGUAGCUGGGACUACAGGAAUUAUUAAGAUAAGGACCAGCAGUACAAUGAGCUUUUCACUGUAUGUCUGACCUGAAAGAAGAAAAUCUUUUCAGAGGACUCCUCUCUCCCCUUCAGUCGCCAAGACAAUGAGAGCUCUUGCUACAGAAUACUCAUGGUCAUUUCUUCCCCUGGCAUUCAUAAACUAACAUGGUUCCCAAGCACUACCUUGUUGGCUGAGAGAGAGUCCCCGCCUGUGUUGGGAGGCAGGCUGAGGGCUGCGACGGCUGCUGUGGUGAUUGCUGCUGCUGCAUGCGAUCCUGCAGGCUCCG